rnacentral:rRNA from 1 species
GACGAACGCUGGCGGCGUGCUUAACACAUGCAAGUCGAACGGUGAAGGGGCCUGCUUUUGUGGGCCCUGGAUGAGUGGCGAACGGGUGAGUAACACGUGAGUAACCUGCCCCCUUCUUCUGGAUAACCGCAUGAAAGUGUGGCUAAUACGGGAUAUUCUGGGUCUGUCGCAUGAUGGGUCUGGGAAAGAUUGCGCCUUUGGGUGUUGUUGGUGGGGGAUGGGCUCGCGGCCUAUCAGCUUGUUGGUGGGGUGAUGGCCUACCAAGGCGGGGACGGGUAGCCGGCCUGAGAGGGUGGACGGUCACACUGGGACUGAGACACGGCCCAGACUCCUACGGGAGGCAGCAGUGGGGAAUAUUGCACAAUGGGCGCAAGCCUGAUGCAGCGACGCCGCGUGAGGGAUGGUGGCCUUCGGGGUGUAAACCUCUUUCGCCAGUGAAGCAGGCCUGCUCCGUGUGGGUGGGUUGACGGUAGCUGGAUAAGAAGCGCCGGCUAACUACGUG